GAGGAGGAGGAGGAGGACAUGGCAGAGAUAGCCUUUGAAGAGGGCCAUUGAGAAGUCAUUAGGGUAAUGAUAAUUGGCGCGGUGAAUAAGCAAAAGGAGAGAUGGGGGAGGAGAGAGAGAGAGUGUGUGUGUGUGUGUGUGUGUGUGUGGGGGGUUAACAGAUGCAAAUAGGUGAUAUGUUACCAGCUAAUUUGAUUGACAGCCACAUGUUGACUGCUGAUAUGCGUGAACAGAGAUGCAUCUGUGAAGUUUCCAGCGCCUCCGUUUGCUUGUUUGGUGUGUAUGUGAGAAAAAUAGAGAUCUUAUGUGAUAGAAAGAGAGAAGAGAUGGAUAGUGUGUGUGUUGUGUGUGUGUUGUGUGUGUGUGGGGAGCAGUAAAGCCUGUCCCCCGGUGACUGGGCCUGCUUGCUGGGUGACAGAUAGCCCAGGGAGAGAGGGGACACCAGGCUGUUUAGCUGAUAAUUAAGGGGGUUUUAUCUUAAUUUGAGCUGUUACUCUCUAUCCUCUGCUGUGAUUUAUGAGCUGCCGGCCCGGCCCUGCUACCCUGCUCUGCCCCUUAGCAUUGGGAACAAGACAAAGGAACCUCCUCCUCCUCCCUGUGUGUACACACUCACACACAUACCACACACACUCAUACUGAGACAGACACGUCCUCCACUCAGGUAGAAACACCUGCGCAGAAAUACUGCUCUCUGAGGACGAGGGUACUUAAGGGUAUGUAAGCUAUUCAACGGUAACAAUGAGUGCAGUAAAAAAUUAAAGUACCCUGAUUAUAUGACAAAUUUACUCUCCUAUUAAACCUGAGAAUGGUGGAGUUUAAAGAUGAGGGAAAAUGAGGUUUAAAUACAGUUAAAGAGCAGAAAAAUAUAAAACAUUCUGAUUCAUUAAAUGAGGUUCUUACACAAAAUUCCUACACUUCAUUAGUGAUAUAAUUAUUAUAUAAAUUAUAACCAAAUCUUACUGAUAAAAAAAAAAUCUCUAUUUUUCUGAUAAUCAGUGAAACCAAAUUCAGAAUUAUGAGAUUUUCUAAAAUAAAAACGUCUGUCGUGUGUUUUCUGAGUUAAAGUCAGAUUUACUGUUUCAGGAAUAUAGGAAAUAAAGUUUAAUUAAUAAUUAAAACAAAGUGUUACAGACAGAGGCUGGAAUCAUGAUAUUUUAAUACACCAGAGUGAGAUACAGGAGGCCGUUUUUAAUCCCAAAAGAUAAGAUAAUUUACUCCUUUAUUAUUUACAGUUCAUUCUUUCCAGCAAACAGACAGAUGCAUACAGGAUGACAGGAACAGGAGAAGUGUAGGAUCGCCCUUCUCCCGUCUUAGAUGAGAAAAUCAUGUAGAAAUAUUAAAGAGGAAUUAUAAAGUCUGAAAAAAAGGACAAUACCACUUCUUUAUAUAUUUAUAAUGGGUAGGAACUUUUGUCCUGUAAUGAUUUUCCAAGGGAGGAAUUACUGAACGGACCGCAAUCACCGAGGCGCCAAAAAGACAAAGAGCAGAGGCGCGAAAGUUCGUGAUAUUUUCUGAUAUUAUCUGAUAUUAUCUGAUAUUUUGUGAUAUUUGGUGAUAUUAUCUGAUAUUUAAGCGUAAAUGUAACGGACUGGUAAUGUCGGUAGUUAUUAGUAACGGUGGAGUAAACUCAGGUACAGUCAAAGUCAGACUUCAUGAACAUAAAUGUCAAAGUUUCAGAAAUAAUCAAUUUUUUUUUUCCAGAUUAUUGACCAACAGAAAGGAUUAUAAACCGUCUGAUAAUCAUUAUUUCAUUUAUUUUACAUUGAAAGUCCGUCUGAAACCAAACAUUGAGAAUUUACACGGCAGACUAAAGUGACUGUGUCUAAUAUUUUACUCUUUUGUGACUCUAAUUUAAUGUUUUUGUGAUAUUUUAAAGACACUAAGCUGUUGUUGUGGAGGUAGUUUUACAUAUUUGAUCUCUGUACAUUUAUUUACUGUGUUUGUUCUGUUGUGUGAAAACUGUUGUUUGGUUUAUCUAAGUCAUUGCAAUGAGGAGCUGAAAUACGAUGUAAUAUUUUAGACAAAUUUAAAGCAUUAACAACAUAUAUAAUAUUUUAGAGCAAUAACAACAUAUAUAAUAUUUUAGAGCAAUAACAACAUAUGAUAUAAUAUUUUACAGCGUUAACAACACAUGAACUUCUGAAGCCUUGGUCUUAAACCCUAACCUGCCAACACUCGUGUUUUAUUUCCCUGUAUUUCCUCAGACCUCUCUCCUGUCAUUUCUCCCACAGGGAUUCUCCCGUAGUUUGAUGGUUCACGUUCAUUUAUGAAUCGGAUCUCUAUAUUUGUCCAAAGUUGCAAAAAUCUCCCUGAUUUUAUAACCCAAAUGUUGGCAGGUGUGUUUUAGAAGAUCCUCGAUCCUUUCUAAAUCUAGAGCAGUGUGAGUGUUCCCUUAACCUCUGACCUUCUUAACAUUAUGUUUAUCUGUACUGCUGUUUUUAUAUAUUAUAUGCCUUUAUCGUUUUUAUAACUUUUAUUGUUCUUAUUGUUUCUAACUGUAAAGUACUUUAGUAGGCCACUGGCUGUUUUAAAUGGGUGAUAUAAAAAGCUGACAUUGACAUCAAGUUAUUUCUUUUUCUUUAGAUGUUGAUCACGGUUUGUUGCUUCAGCACAUCCUGAAGGAAAUGGUCAUGUUACACACUGUUAUAUCAUUUAGGGUAAGCAGCAGUGUUAUCUUGGAUUUUAAGUGUUGAUUUUAUUAUUUGAAUUUUACUGUGAAACCAUAGACUGAGUCUGUGCCCCCCUGUCGCCCCCGUCACCAGAAUUUCCUUGACCCGCCCCAGGGAGGACAGUGUGAGGACUCAGAACCAGGAGGAGGAGUGACGGUCCGAGGGAGCUACAUCAGUCCUGUGAGUACGCAUCCUUG